CCUACGGGCGGCAGCAGUGAGGAAUAUUGGUCAAUGGCCGCAGGGCUGAACCAGCCAAGUCGCGUGAGGGAUGACGGUCCUAUGGAUUGUAAACCUCUUUUGUCAGGGAGCAAAGGGCGCCACGUGUGGCGCUUUGCGAGUACCUGAAGAAAAAGCAUCGGCUAACUCCGUGCCAGCAGCCGCGGUAAUACGGAGGAUGCGAGCGUUAUCCGGAUUUAUUGGGUUUAAAGGGUGCGCAGGCGGAAUGUCAAGUCAACGGUAAAAUUUCGGGGCUCAACCCCGUCGUGCCGUUGAAACUGGCGUUCUUGAGUGAGCGAGAGGUAUGCGGAAUGCGUGGUGUAGCGGUGAAAUGCGUAGAUAUCACGCAGAACUCCGAUUGCGAAGGCAGCAUACCGGCGCUCAACUGACGCUCAUGCACGAAAGCGUGGGUAUCGAACAGGAUUAGAUACCCCAGUAGUC
rnacentral:rRNA from 1 species